rnacentral:rRNA from 1 species
UACGGGAGGCAGCAGUAGGGAAUCUUCCGCAAUGGGCGAAAGCCUGACGGAGCAACGCCGCGUGAGUGAUGAAGGUCUUCGGAUCGUAAAACUCUGUUAUUAGGGAAGAACAUACGUGUAAGUAACUAUGCACGUCUUGACGGUACUUAAUCAGAAAGCCACGGCUAACUACGUGCCAGCAGCCGCGGUAAUACGUAGGUGGCAAGCGUUAUCCGGAAUUAUUGGGCGUAAAGCGCGCGUAGGCGGUUUUUUAAGUCUGAUGUGAAAGCCCACG